rnacentral:rRNA from 1 species
GACGGGGAGGCAACGCGCGCGUGAGUGAUGAAGGUUUUCGGAUCGUAAAGCUCUGUUGUUAGGGAAGAACAAGUGCAAGAGUAACUGCUUGCACCUUGACGGUACCUAACCAGAAAGCCACGGCUAACUACGUGCCAGCAGCCGCGGUAAUACGUAGGUGGCAAGCGUUGUCCGGAAUUAUUGGGCGUAAAGGGCUCGCAGGCGGUUUCUUAAGUCUGAUGUGAAAGCCCCCGGCUCAACCGGGGAGGGUCAUUGGAAACUGGGAAACUUGAGUGCAGAAGAGGAGAGUGGAAUUCCACGUGUAGCGGUGAAAUGCGUAGAGAUGUGGAGGAACACCAGUGGCGAAGGCGACUCUCUGGUCUGUAACUGACGCUGAGGAGCGAAAGCGUGGGGAGCGAACAGGAUUAGAUACCCUGGUAGUUCCACACACAGG